UUUAUGGAGAGUUUGAUCCUGGCUCAGGAUGAACGCUGGCGGCGUGCCUAAUACAUGCAAGUCGAGCGAACAGACAAGGAGCUUGCUCCUUUGACGUUAGCGGCGGACGGGUGAGUAACACGUGGGUAACCUACCUAUAAGACUGGGAUAACUUCGGGAAACCGGAGCUAAUACCGGAUAAUAUUUCGAACCGCAUGGUUCGAUAGUGAAAGAUGGUUUUGCUAUCACUUAUAGAUGGACCCGCGCCGUAUUAGCUAGUUGGUAAGGUAACGGCUUACCAAGGCGACGAUACGUAGCCGACCUGAGAGGGUGAUCGGCCACACUGGAACUGAGACACGGUCCAGACUCCUACGGGAGGCAGCAGUAGGGAAUCUUCCGCAAUGGGCGAAAGCCUGACGGAGCAACGCCGCGUGAGUGAUGAAGGUCUUCGGAUCGUAAAACUCUGUUAUUAGGGAAGAACAUACGUGUAAGUAACUAUGCACGUCUUGACGGUACCUAAUCAGAAAGCCACGGCUAACUACGUGCCAGCAGCCGCGGUAAUACGUAGGUGGCAAGCGUUAUCCGGAAUUAUUGGGCGUAAAGCGCGCGUAGGCGGUUUUUUAAGUCUGAUGUGAAAGCCCACGGCUCAACCGUGGAGGGUCAUUGGAAACUGGAAAACUUGAGUGCAGAAGAGGAAAGUGGAAUUCCAUGUGUAGCGGUGAAAUGCGCAGAGAUAUGGAGGAACACCAGUGGCGAAGGCGACUUUCUGGUCUGUAACUGACGCUGAUGUGCGAAAGCGUGGGGAUCAAACAGGAUUAGAUACCCUGGUAGUCCACGCCGUAAACGAUGAGUGCUAAGUGUUAGGGGGUUUCCGCCCCUUAGUGCUGCAGCUAACGCAUUAAGCACUCCGCCUGGGGAGUACGACCGCAAGGUUGAAACUCAAAGGAAUUGACGGGGACCCGCACAAGCGGUGGAGCAUGUGGUUUAAUUCGAAGCAACGCGAAGAACCUUACCAAAUCUUGACAUCCUUUGACAACUCUAGAGAUAGAGCCUUCCCCUUCGGGGGACAAAGUGACAGGUGGUGCAUGGUUGUCGUCAGCUCGUGUCGUGAGAUGUUGGGUUAAGUCCCGCAACGAGCGCAACCCUUAAGCUUAGUUGCCAUCAUUAAGUUGGGCACUCUAAGUUGACUGCCGGUGACAAACCGGAGGAAGGUGGGGAUGACGUCAAAUCAUCAUGCCCCUUAUGAUUUGGGCUACACACGUGCUACAAUGGACAAUACAAAGGGCAGCGAAACCGCGAGGUCAAGCAAAUCCCAUAAAGUUGUUCUCAGUUCGGAUUGUAGUCUGCAACUCGACUACAUGAAGCUGGAAUCGCUAGUAAUCGUAGAUCAGCAUGCUACGGUGAAUACGUUCCCGGGUCUUGUACACACCGCCCGUCACACCACGAGAGUUUGUAACACCCGAAGCCGGUGGAGUAACCAUUUGGAGCUAGCCGUCGAAGGUGGGACAAAUGAUUGGGGUGAAGUCGUAACAAGGUAGCCGUAUCGGAAGGUGCGGCUGGAUCACCUCCUUU
rnacentral:rRNA from 3 species